UACGGGGGGGGUAAGCGUUGUUCGGAAUUACUGGGCGUAAAGGGCGCGUAGGCGGUCUCGUAAGUCCUGUGUGAAAUCCCCCGGCUCAACUGGGGAACUGCACAGGAAACUGCCGGACUUGAGUUCGGGAGAGGGAAGCGGAAUUCCGGGUGUAGCGGUGAAAUGCGUAGAUAUCCGGAGGAACACCGGUGGCGAAGGCGGCUUCCUGGACCGACACUGACGCUGAGGCGCGAAAGCUAGGGGAGCAAACGGG
rnacentral:rRNA from 1 species